rnacentral:lncRNA from 1 species
UCAUGCCAGAGUGGAAGAGAAGAAUAUAUUUUACAAUAAAUUCUGUCUGACAUAGAAUUCUCAUUAUAAUUUUUCAGUACUUUAAGUUGGAAACGAAAACACCAUUUGAAAUGAGCCUGAAGUGUCUGGUAUUUUUGCUCUGCAAUUAUGUUGAUGGUUCUUCCCUCUUCCCACAGCUCCUGGGCAACAUGAUUGUGAUUGUGUUGGGCCACCACCUGGGCAAGGAAUUCUCCCCCUGUGCACAGGCUGCCUUCCAGAAGGUGGUGGCUGGAGUGGCCAGUGCCCUGGCUCACAAGUACCACUAAACCUCUUUUCCUGCUCUUGUCUUUGUGCAAUGGUCAAUUGUUCCCAAGAGAGCAUCUGUCAGUUGUUGUCAAAAUGACAAAGACCUUUGAAAAUCUGUCCUACUAAUUAAAGGCAUUUACUUUCACUGC